AUGCUUACCUGAACGGGUGGCCUAUGGUGGCUCCCCUCAUUGCACUUGGAGGGUGGGUCUCCUUAGCAUCUGCCCAAGUGGGAGAAUGCACGUCAUAAUUUGUGGUAGGGGGCACGCGUUCGCGCGUCCCCUAC
rnacentral:snRNA from 1 species